UUCAGGGAAAAACGUCACGUACUCUGCGAGUUCUCGUGUUUGGAACAACAAACAAACACAGUUACCUUGUGUCUUCGCUAUAUACGUUAAGAGACCGGUGUACGAGUAUAACGAAAGCUAGUACGUCCGACGAUUUCAGUGUUGGUUAUGAAGAUAACCUGACGGUGGAGCCCGUUGAAAACAAAAAGUGAAUACCACUCCCUACCAUGACAAGACUGAAAGAGAAAUUAAUCUGCAUUAGUAUGCCAAUAAAGCCAGACCUAAAAAGAGGUUACUGCCUUCACUAGGAUGACGUAGAAAAUAAGUCGAAAGCUCAGGGCCAAGGCCAACAUGUACUGGAAUCAUUAAUGAUUGUGUGAAAUCGUCUAUCACAUUUAAAAAAAAUUAAUCGGCAAAUCAACCGGAAUAUUUACGGCGUAAAUUAUUUUGCGAUAACACUUCAAUAAAUAUAUGACGUCAUAAAA